CGCAUGUACAUGUAUGUACACAGAGUUUAUUUAAUGUUCCUCAUAGGUACUUGUACUUAGAGGUGACCGCUACAGAUUGGAUAACCCUAUCCUGACAUUCACUCCCGGAAAAAAAACUGCUUCUUCCUCUCCCCACAGCCACUGGCUGCCUAUAGCUAUUCCACUACAGAUUGGGCAUUUGAAAUUUCCCCAUCUGUGUUGACAUAUUGGCCAGCACUGUCAAGUCAUUAUGCAGGUCUCGUUCAGGCAACCCUAUUGUUGAGCUCUCACAGGUUCAACAUCUGUGCCACCUCUUGAAGACACUGUAGAGCCGCAGACAGUCUGGACCCUGGCUCUUACUUCUCUCCACCCCUUCUUUCUUCUUCUCAGGCUUUGGGUUGUAUAUGUCCCAACUCAUGCAUUCUCUGUAUUUUGAUCAGUUUUAACAGUCUUCACUUGCUGGGGUUGGGGGUAGCUAUGUUGAAGGAUCAGAGCUACAGUUACCUGAAAACUUUAUGAUCUCAUUUUUCUUGACUGCUAGAUGGAAUUCUCGUAUGUUCUGUUUCACUAUCCAUUCAUCAGCUGAACAACAUGGAGACUGUAUUUAUUUCCUAGCUAGUAUAAGUAUGGUGGCAAUGAACACGACCAAGCAAGUCUCCCUGUAGUUGAAUCCUGGAUUCCUUGGGCAUGUGCCAUGGAGUGGUCUAGUUGGGUCUUUUGAUAGAUCUGCUUUUAGUUGUUUUUAAGUUGCCUUGUGGGUACCUUGUCAUAGUCACAGAAAAGUAACUCACAUGCCUACACACACACACACACACACACACACACACACACACACCCAGCUUCUCUGUAGUUGAGCACCUGCUAAUCCGCACAGGAAGAGAGUGUAGAUCUCCUCAGAGAAAUGACAUUUCUGUGAGGCCGAAAGAGGUUUGUGUGUGCCAUGCAUGUCACCAUGAGUGCCUCGUGCAUGUCACCAUGAGUGCCUCGUGCAUGUCGCCAUGAGUGUCUGUGUGACUGAAUUUACUCUACACUCCUUAGUUUAAACCAUUGCCCUACUGUAUUAAGAAAAGUGUUCUAGAAACGCAAUGGCUGAAGUUAACUUGACUGGAAGUUUCUUAUUCUAGCUUUAUAAUUAAUGCACUGCUUUACCUACAGUCUGUGACUCUAAUGUCCCUCAAAUUUGUAUCUUCAUGUAGAACCAUUUCUACAUGUGUUAAUUUGGGGUAAGAUGACCAAUCUAAUUUCACCAAGCUUUCUCUUGGGGAUAUACCUCAAGAGGAAGUUAAUGUAGGUCGAGAUGGGUCCAAUCAAGUCAAGGUGUGACAAUUACUAAAGAAAGAUCUCAUAUGCUAACUAAGAUGAUAAGAAAGGUUGAUUUCAGCAUCAGUGAAGCAUCCUUUGGGUCUCUUUUGUUUCUGUGCCUCCACAUACUUGCUGCUUUGUACAAAAUGUCCCUAUGUCCUUUGCACUAAUGUGAUGUCACUAAUAUCUACCAAGUUCUAUCUUUCCAACUACAUUUUUUCUAAAUUUCCAAGUACAUUCCUGAGUCAUUACAGAGUUCUGAAAUGUGUAUGUUUCGACACUAAUGAUGUCAUUCAGGUAAAUAGCAAAAUGUUUAUGCUAUUUUAUACAUUUAGAAAACGUGCUUAGUAGUCUAUGCAGAAAGAAGCUCAUAGCAGGCAUUCCAGCUAAGAGAUGGUUGCAAAGUCUCUGACUUUACCCAAAUACUUCAGCUAUUUUUUCCUUUUUUUUUUUUUUGAGACAGUGUCUCAUGGACUGUGGGCUGCCCUUGAUCUCUCUAUGUGGCCUGAGGGUGACCUUAAAUUCCUGAUCCUUCUAUCUCCAUCUCCUGAGUAUUCAAUUACAGGCAUCUGUUACCACACCCCGUUCAUGCUGUGCUGAGGAUUGAACCCAGGACUUCUGGCACAAGUCAAGCAGUACUAAGCCUUAUCCCCAGCUUAGUAAACC
rnacentral:lncRNA from 1 species